GGAAAUGGUUUCUCAAGGCUGCAAUCUACCAUGAGAAUGACACCGAAGUUGGCUGCCAUAUAUGUCCAGGAAAGAACCUGACCGAAUUAGGAUUUGUUUAUGCUUACAACAAAACCCUCCAUUAUGUCAUGGACUUCAUUGCAAACUCAAAGCAUAAGGGGUUGAUCUUUUUCAGGACAUCCACGCCGGAUCAUUUUGAGAACGGGGAAUGGCAUAAUGGAGGGAGUUGUCCGAAGACAACCCCGGCUAAAGAAGGAGAAGUUGAAAUAAAGGACUUGAGCCGAAUUCUACGUAACGUUGAAUUAGAAGAGUUUGAGAAGGCAGCUGCAAA
rnacentral:lncRNA from 1 species